AGAGAAGAAAUCAGCAAUCGUGUUCUUUGUGAACAGCAAAGAGAGAGCGAGGAAACAUCACAUUUAGUGGACAUCUGCAACAGUUCACCAGCUGUGCUGCUAAGCCCAUACUUGUAGCAGAGAUUGUGACUGAGCUUGUGAUGCAAGCUGUGAUUAUUACUAGGAUCACCACCCUGUCUCCUUCCUCUUUCUAAAGCACUCUGCUAAUUGGGCAAAUGAUAAUUUUGCUCAUGACACAGAUUAAGAUAAGAAUAUUAGAAAUUGACAUAUAUGAAAACUGAACAUUUUAGAGGGCAUCUUGCUGCCUGAAAGUACCUGAAGUACAGGUAAGGAACCGAUCCACUGAACAGCAUAGCACAGGUUUUUCCCCUGCCCUUCCUGUAAAGAAGCCCACAGGAGGCCACUCAACUUGACAUCUCAGCUCUCCGAAUUCCACUGCUUGGUCUGGUCCCAUUGCUCCGUUAGGUUACUCACGCCUGCUUGCCAGGGGAUCAAGGAGCCUUACGUGAUAGAGGCCUUUGGAGAAGCCAAUUCCCAGCCCACAGGCUCCUGCUGAAAAUGCUGAUUAGACUGCUGGUGAUCUUGCUGUGCCAGCGUCACUGGGUAUCUCCGCUGUGAUCAUGAAAGAUAAGCCUAAAGUGAGAAUGAAAAUCGUGCUGUCCUUAUUCCUUCUGAUCUGCUCUGUGCUUGCUUGUCCCAGGGUGUUGGAGCCUGGAACCUCUUUCACUUGGCUGCAAGAACAGUAACAGUAUGACCUGCACAGACUGUGCAGUGCAAGGAGCAGAGUAAAUGGAAAUUACAUGCAAAAGGGUUUAGAACUCAGAAGUCCUUAAAAAAACCCACUUCCUAUGAUUUUGAAUCAAAGAAGAGAUUUAUCAGGCAUCCUACUUUACUGGCAGUAAGAAAAAUUUGGUAUGAGUCAAGACUUCUGGCCCAAAGCUCAGAACAGGUUUUCAACUCCAUAAAGGUCCAAGUUUUGCCUUGUUGUUGAUCCUUGACAGAAAUCAAGUGUAAGCACCCCUCACUUUGAGACAUCAAGUGAUGAUGUUGGCUCUGCUCCAGUAAAGGCAAUAUUCCAGGGAAAGAUAGCAUAGCUGAGCAAGUCAGCUGUCUAAAAAUGGCUGUGUUAGAAAGGAAGAAAGAGUGAGAAUAGAGAAUGUCUUAUCAAAUUGAAAAAAAAGAAAAUAAAAUGCUAUUUCAGUAGUUCUUCUGACUUCCCCUAAAAGUG